GUUGGUGUAGAGGAUACACCUGAGACAACAGACAAAGACCCAACAGAAUGGAACAUUAGGAACACUCUGUCCGCAGAGAAAUGGAAAGAGGCCAGGCCAUCUCUCAUUGAUAGUAUGCUGGCCAAUGAGGACCCUCACCCACAGUCUGGAUGCCAGUGUGGGAAACCAGCUGUGGUGAGGUGUAUGGACUGCCUGCCUCUCCCAUUACUUUGUUUAGACUGUGAUUUAAUUUUGCACUCUCGGUUUGUCUUGCACAACCGAGAACAAUUAAAUGGAGAGUUUUUGCAGCCUGUUCUUCAUCAGCAAACAGGUACCCAUUUAGAGUCCUUAAUACAUAUCAGCCAUGUUUUAUUCCUGUCAAACUUUUUCAAAAUCUAUAUAAAAUCUACAUAUAUUUACAGCUGCAGCAAUGUUUUUUUUUUGUUUUUUUUUUGGGGGGGGGGGAAUUACAUUUUUUGAAUGUUAGCAUGGAUGGUGCCUAUUCAAAGGCCAGAUCGUGUGUGCCACUGCUCAGGCAGCAUCCAUGUGUCACCUGGAAGGGUCGUGGCAGUCAUAACUAUGAAUGGCCGCUACAACCUAUCAAUGCCAGUGGUGAGUUGCACCAGCUGUUGUGUCACAUGGUCCAUCUCCAUCAAGGACAUCCAGCGUGAUGGAUACUGGCCAGGCAGUGGUACCACAAACUUCUGCACGCUAUAUGCCACUGAUAUCUUUCAGUCAUUUUAUGACUUGAAGAUGGCAGCACCAGGGGUCUCUCUGAAGGCAUACUUAAGAAUGCUUGAUGCAAGGACUGUGCGCUUUGGAAGAACUGGCAAGAUAUCACCAGACACAUUUUAUAAAAGCUUCUUGGAAUGGGUAGCCGUAAAAUAUGAAGUACGAAAGCUGUGUACGCC